rnacentral:rRNA from 2 species
CGAGGAAUUCCUAGUAAAUGCGGGUCAUCAGCUCNCGCUGAAGACGUCCCUACCCAUUGNACACCACCCCCCGUCACACCUACCGANUGNNUGAUNCCGGUGAAACUCCUCGGUCCGUGGUUUGGUCNCCUGCGCGCCGACUAAAUCGUGGGAAGUUAUCUUACACCUCAUCAUUUAGAGGUUAGGUGNAGUCGUAACAAGCUAACC